rnacentral:rRNA from 1 species
UGGCGACCGGCGCACGGGUGCGUAACGCGUAUGCAACCUACCCAUAACAGGGGGAUAACACUGAGAAAUUGGUACUAAUACCCCAUAACAUCAGGACCGGCAUCGGUUCUGGUUGAAAACUCCGGUGGUUAUGGAUGGGCAUGCGUUGUAUUAGCUGGUUGGUGAGGUAACGGCUCACCAGGGCAACGAUACAUAGGGGGACUGAGAGGUUAACCCCCCACAUUGGUACUGAGACACGGACCAA